rnacentral:tmRNA from 1 species
GGGGCUGACCGGUUUUGACAGUAGGUGUGAAGAUCGGGCUCGCAUGCAGGCUGAAGUAUGUACGGCCUUAAAAGAUUCAUGCAAAGAUAACUGGCGAAACUUCUUACGCCAUGGCUGCCUAAUCUAACCCUAAGGGGAUAGAUAUCGCUUAAAGGGUUGAGUUGCAAGAGUGACUCCCCAGCCACACUCCGCCAUUUGUUGCAUUGUCCGGAUGGAUUUGGGGUGUCGAUAAGACAAUGAUGCUUCCCGUGAGGCUACUAAACGGGAUUAAGACCAGUGGCUAAGCUGUUGUCCGGUGUGUCACCCAGCAAACAACAGUCGAAAACCCAACAGGUGACUAAGCAUGUAGACGGUACGGUGUUUCCCUAUCUGGACGCGGGUUCGAAUCCCGCCAGCUCCACAA